GGGGAUGUAAAGGUUUCGACGGGGAUUUUGAAGUAUAAUAAGCGAGUAGAGGAGCGCACACUCUUUAAACGGCGUACGUUUUAAAAUUAGACGACAACGAUAAUUUUGAACUGGCUGCUGCUUAAGCAGCGCCCGUCUUACCUUUGAGUACCACGGCUUAGGAUAAGGCGUCGACUAGUGGUGAACGUUCUCAGGCAACGGCUGUAGCCUUUGAAUGUACAACAGCCUACCGAAACUGAGGGCGUGUCUGUUUGCCCGCAGUCAAGGAAAAAGGCGCAAGCCGGAAUAACCGACUACACUCGUAGAAAUUUAUAUGGAUAGGUUUUCGGACAGGAGUUCGAUUCUCCUCAUCUCCACCA
rnacentral:tmRNA from 1 species